rnacentral:rRNA from 1 species
UACGAAGGGGGCGAGCGUUGUUCGGAAUUACUGGGCGUAAAGGGCGCGUAGGCGGCGACUCUAGUCAGAUGUGAAAGUCCCGGGCUUAACCUGGGGACUGCAUUUGAUACUGGGUUGCUUGAAUUCGGGAGAGGAUAGCGGGAUUCCCAGUGUAGAGGUGAAAUUCGUAGAUAUUGGGAAGAACACCGGUGGCGAAGGCGGCUAUCUGGACCGACAUUGACGCUGAGGCGCGAAAGCGUGGGGAGCAAACAGG